AGACGUAGGGGGCGAGCGUUGUCCGGAUUUAUUGGGCGUAAAGAGCGUGUAGGCGGUUUGGUAGGUCAGCUGUGAAAACUCGAGGCUCAACCUCGAGACGCCGGUGGAAACCAUCAGGCUAGAGUCCGGAAGAGGAGAGCGGAAUUCCUGGUGUAGCGGUGAAAUGCGCAGAUAUCAGGAAGAACCCCCGUGGCUAAGGCGGCUCUCUAGUACGUGACUGACGCUGAGACGCGAAAGCGUGGGGAGCGAACAGGAUUAGAUACCCUGGUAGUCCACGCCGUAAGCGAUGGGUGCUAGGUGUAGGGGGUGUCGACUCCCUCUGUGCCGAAGCUAACGCAUUAAGCACCCCGCCUGGGGAGUACGGCCGCAAGGCUAAAACUCAAAUGAAUUGACGGG
rnacentral:rRNA from 1 species